GGCAGACUACCUGGAGCAGAUAUCAACCGCUGGCGCGUCUUUAGCACAAGUGUAUGGAGGGUGGCAUUUUCUCUCUGCGAAGAUUAUGGAAGCAAUUUCCCGUUUGGGGAGAAGGUGCUCGCGCCGUCCCUCUCGCCGGCCAUGUCGGCUUCGACAGCAUGCCUGACCAGCUGGUCAACAAGUCUGUCAACCACGGCUUUUGCUUCAACAUCCUCUGCGUUGGUGAGACGGGCCUGGGCAAGUCCACUCUCAUGGACACCCUGUUCAACACCAAGUUCGAGGGCGAACCCACCCAGCACAACCAGCCGAGUGUGCAGCUCAAGUCCAACACCUACGAGCUCCAGGAGAGCAAUGUGCGCCUCAAGCUGACCGUGGUCAACACUGUGGGCUUCGGAGACCAGAUCAACAAAGAGGACAGCUACAAGUCUAUUGUGGAGUUUAUCGACACCCAGUUUGAGGCCUAUCUGCAGGAGGAGCUGAAAAUCAAGCGCACGUUACACAGCUACCACGACACACGCAUCCACGCCUGCCUGUACUUCAUCGCACCCACCGGACACUCCCUCAAGUCCCUGGACCUGGUCACUAUGAAGAAACUGGACAGCAAGGUCAACAUCAUCCCCAUCAUCGCCAAAUCAGACGCCAUCUCCAAAAGCGAGCUGACCAAGUUCAAGAUCAAGAUCACCAGUGAGCUAGUCAGCAACGGUGUUCUGAUCUACCAGUUCCCCAUCGACGACGAGACGGUGGCAGAGAUCAACUCCACCAUGAACGCCCAUUUGCCGUUCGCCGUGGUGGGAAGCACGGAGGAAGUGAAGAUCGGCAACAAGAUGGUGAAAGCGCGGCAGUACCCCUGGGGGACGGUACAGGUGGAGAAUGAGAACCACUGUGACUUUGUGAAGCUGAGAGAGAUGCUAAUCAGGGUGAACAUGGAGGAUCUUAGAGAGCAGACUCACACCAGACACUACGAGCUCUACCGUCGCUGCAAGCUGGAGGAGAUGGGCUUCAAGGACACGGACCCCGACUGCAAACCCUUCAGUCUGCAGGAGACGUAUGAGGCCAAGAGGAACGAGUUCAUGGGAGAGCUGCAGAAGAAAGAGGAAGAGAUGAGGCAGAUGUUCGUCCAGAGAGUCAAGGAAAAGGAGGCUGAGCUGAAGGAGGCCGAGAAAGAGCUGCACGAGAAGUUUGACCGGCUCAAGAAGCUGCACCAGGAUGAGAAGAAGAAGCUGGAGGACAAGAAGAAAUCCCUGGAUGACGAGCUCAACGGCUUCAAGCAGAAAAAGAUGGCCGCUGAGCUCCUGCAGUCCCAGGCUCUGCAGGCAGGGGGCUCCACCACACUCAAGAGGGACAAGGAGAGGAAAAAUAUAGGGCUGCAGUAUUAGGGCCGUGGUGACAGAGUUGUUGUCGUGGGUCCCUUCAUGUUGGUAAUCACUCCUGGUUGUGUAUUCAAGCUGAUGUGAGCCCUGUCACCGGCCCCGUUAGAAAGAAAGAAGACACUUGCACUGAGAAAGUUAAGGAUUCCUGUAGGAAUGAUUUUUCACCCCAUCCCUGGCAGUGCCAUGCUGUUCUCUGUGCCCUCCAGCCCUCCCCCUCUCCCCCAUUCCAAACCCCACACAUGCCCCUGCACUGUGGAAGAAUCCAGCCAUUACUGUGAAUGGGAAUCCUUGACUCAAACGCAUCCUUUUUGCGCUAAAGAUGCUUGUUUUUGUACGUUUUUUUUGUUACGAGCCAUCAUCCUCUGUUUGCCUGUUUGCUUUCUGUUGGAAAGUAGAUGUAUUCUCUAGUUGUUUUUGUUGUUGACCGUUCUGCAUGACUGAGUGUGCUUUUUACUUUUACAUGCACAACUACUGUUGUGACAGGCAGGAGUUUGUGGAGGCUAAGGUGAAAUGUAUAUCAGCUGUGGUCUGACCAGGCCAGUGGUGUGUGUGUGUGUGUGGAUAAAUUUUUACUAUACUUGUAAGUACCAGAAGUCCUCACAAGAAUAGUAAACCAACUAAAAUUCAGAGAAGUGAGGACAUUUUGUUGGUCCUCACUUGUAAUAUGGCUAUUUUAGGGUUAGGUUUAGGGUUAGAAUUUGGGUUAGAAUUAGGGUUAGAGGUUAAGAUUAGGUUAAGAGUUAGGUUUAGGGUUAGCGGUUAGGGAAAAUUGGAUUUUGAAUGGAAAUCAGUUGUUGGUCCCCCAAAAGACCUCACUAGUAUAGUAAGACAUAGCUGUCUGUGUGCGUGCUCAUUAGCAUCUUCCGGUCCAUGUUUCAGACCACCACUAUUCUACUCACCACCAGGGUAUAAUCAACCACUCCAAUAGUAUGACAUUAUGACAAUGUGCGCUGAUAUCGUGUUGGCAUACAAUGUGUAAUUAUUGAAAAUUAAGAUACUAUUAUUGUAUGUUUUGAAUGAGGGCAUCUGUUUGUGCUUUUGCCUGCUCCUAACAUGGCAUGAAUAAUGAGUGACAGGGAGUUGGCAUGAUAGCACAAACAGACUGGCACUCAGGCUACGGAGAAAGUGAGUGUUAGUCAACUGCUGAUGUUAUUUCAUCUUAGCCUGGUGCAUGUGCAAAUAUGAAUGAUUUCUUGUCAUCUCUUUGCCCAUACCUCAUUGUUUUUCAUAUACUGUACGCUAUCUGCAUACUUGUUAGCUUUUCACAUUUUACACAAAUGUAAUUUUGUAUAUUUCCAGUGCAAUUGUGACUUUUAUAUUUUUUUCUACAUAUAACAUCAUAUUUUAAGCCAUUUAUCCAAAUAACAAUAAUGUAGGGAUCAGUAUUGCACUUGUAUCAGUGUUACACAAAAAAUACUUCAUCUCCAAGGGAAAUAAAGAGGGAAUUUCACCAAAUAUUUCAA